UGAGGAAUAUUGGUCAAUGGGCGCGAGCCUGAACCAGCCAAGUAGCGUGAAGGAUGAAGGUCCUACGGAUUGUAAACUUCUUUUAUACGGGAAUAAAGUGGUCCACGUGUGGAUUUUUGCAUGUACCGUAUGAAUAAGCAUCGGCUAACUCCGUGCCAGCAGCCGCGGUAAUACGGAGGAUGCGAGCGUUAUCCGGAUUUAUUGGGUUUAAAGGGAGCGCAGACGGGGGAUUAAGUCAGUUGUGAAAGUUUGCGGCUCAACCGUAAAAUUGCAGUUGAAACUGGCAGUCUUGAGUACAGUAGAGGUGGGCGGAAUUCGUGGUGUAGCGGUGAAAUGCUUAGAUAUCACGAAGAACUCCGAUUGCGAAGGCAGCUCACUAGACUGCAACUGACACUGAUGCUCGAAAGUGUGGGUAUCAAACAGGAUUAGAUACCCUGGUAGUCCACACAGUAAACGAUGAAUACUCGCUGUUUGCGAUAUACAGUAAGCGGCCAAGCGAAAGCAUUAAGUAUUCCACCUGGGGAGUACGCCGGCAACGGUGAAACUCAAAGGAAUUGACGGGGGCCCGCACAAGCGGAGGAACAUGUGGUUUAAUUCGAUGAUACGCGAGGAACCUUACCCGGGCUUAAAUUGCAUUUGAAUAAUCUGGAAACAGGUUAGCCGCAAGGCAAAUGUGAAGGUGCUGCAUGGUUGUCGUCAGCUCGUGCCGUGAGGUGUCGGCUUAAGUGCCAUAACGAGCGCAACCCUUAUCUUUAGUUACUAACAGGUCAUGCUGAGGACUCUAGAGAGACUGCCGUCGUAAGAUGUGAGGAAGGUGGGGAUGACGUCAAAUCAGCACGGCCCUUACGUCCGGGGCUACACACGUGUUACAAUGGGGGGUACAGAAGGCAGCUACCUGGUGACAGGAUGCUAAUCCCAAAAACCUCUCUCAGUUCGGAUCGAAGUCUGCAACCCGACUUCGUGAAGCUGGAUUCGCUAGUAAUCGCGCAUCAGCCAUGGCGCGGUGAAUACGUUCCC
rnacentral:rRNA from 1 species